UCCAUCUCUCAAAGGACCCAACACCACCUAAUCCUGUUCUACGGGGGACCUUCAAAAGCAAAACAACAACAACAACAAAAACCUCAUGAGGGAUACAUCGUAUCCAACCGUAACAGGGAAUAAGCCCCUAACCUGCCGGCAUGCUGUUCGCCCUGGGUAGAUUGGGUCAGGAGUGAGCUGAACUGGAGGACACCGACUUGGUGUUUUAGAGAACAGAGGGGUUUCUCGGUAUGGAAGAGAUCCACACUUGAGAUGAGCAGUGAAACCAAAAACCCUGUCCCACUGAAGCUGGCUUCUCCCUGAGUCGAAUCUGAAACAGACAGAAGGAAACAAGAGUAGCAUUGAGUAUUUUCUGCAGGUGUAGGAUCUGCUUUUCCCGGCCAAGUAUAAACAGCACAUUCUCUCCAGGCCCAUCAAGAAGGAGAGUGUGAUGCAGGAAACCUGCUCUCUGACUCACGGGGCUCGCAACUCCUUCUCCUAUGGCCAGCCCAGAAAGAAGCCUAUGGAGUUCCAUCUAGUAAAUACCUGGAGCCUAAAGACUAAAUGAAGAAUCACAGCACAGACCGGACCUUUCUCGACGUCUGCAACAGGCCUUCAUAACAAGCACAGCAGCGACAUUAGUCACUUGUAUCAAGAACAGGGACACUGGCAAUGACGGUAGAUGACAUUCCACAUUGACUGCUGUGCUGGGGGCCACCACCGCAAGCUGCUUAAGACAGCAUCAAAACCAAAAUGACGCUUUCUGCAGGAAGCUUGGGAAGGGGUCGGGCACGAGUCUGUGUUGAGGUAGGUUCUUUUCCUGUGCCCAGGCUGAAUUCCCACUCCUCCCAUCUCAGGCUUCCCUGUAGCACCACCAUGCCUAACAAAAUUGUGGUUUUGAGAGUUUGAGGUGAGGGCUAAACGAGGAUUUUUUUUUAAUCUUUUGUGGGGUACAGGGGGUGGGGCCUGGGAUGUAGGACAAACUAGGUAAGUGUUCUACUUAACCAAAUUCCACCCCAUCCGUCAUUUAGUCCGGAAAGAAUAAACAAGGGGGAUGAA